GACAGCCCCGUACACAAAAAUGCACAUGCUGUGAGCUCGAUGAGUAGGGCGGGACACGUGGUAUCCUGUCUGAAUAUGGGGGGACCAUCCUCCAAGGCUAAAUACUCCUGACUGACCGAUAGUGAACCAGUACCGUGAGGGAAAGGCGAAAAGAACCCCGGCGAGGGGAGUGAAAAAGAACCUGAAACCGUGUACGUACAAGCAGUGGGAGCACGCUUAGGCGUGUGACUGCGUACCUUUUGUAUAAUGGGUCAGCGACUUAUAUUCUGUAGCAAGGUUAACCGAAUAGGGGAGCCGAAGGGAAACCGAGUCUUAACUGGGCGUUAAGUUGCAGGGUAUAGACCCGAAACCCGGUGAUCUAGCCAUGGGCAGGUUGAAGGUUGGGUAACACUAACUGGAGGACCGAACCGACUAAUGUUGAAAAAUUAGCGGAUGACUUGUGGCUGGGGGUGAAAGGCCAAUCAAACCGGGAGAUAGCUGGUUCUCCCCGAAAGCUAUUUAGGUAGCGCCUCGUGAAUUCAUCUCCGGGGGUAGAGCACUGUUUCGGCAAGGGGGUCAUCCCGACUUACCAACCCGAUGCAAACUGCGAAUACCGGAGAAUGUUAUCACGGGAGACACACGGCGGGUGCUAACGUCCGUCGUGAAGAGGGAAACAACCCAGACCGCCAGCUAAGGUCCCAAAGUCAUGGUUAAGUGGGAAACGAUGUGGGAAGGCCCAGACAGCCAGGAUGUUGGCUUAGAAGCAGCCAUCAUUUAAAGAAAGCGUAAUAGCUCACUGGUCGAGUCGGCCUGCGCGGAAGAUGUAACGGGGCUAAACCAUGCACCGAAGCUGCGGCAGCGACGCUUAUGCGUUGUUGGGUAGGGGAGCGUUCUGUAAGCCUGUGAAGGUGUACUGUGAGGUAUGCUGGAGGUAUCAGAAGUGCGAAUGCUGACAUAAGUAACGAUAAAGCGGGUGAAAAGCCCGCUCGCCGGAAGACCAAGGGUUCCUGUCCAACGUUAAUCGGGGCAGGGUGAGUCGACCCCUAAGGCGAGGCCGAAAGGCGUAGUCGAUGGGAAACAGGUUAAUAUUCCUGUACUUGGUGUUACUGCGAAGGGGGGACGGAGAAGGCUAUGUUGGCCGGGCGACGGUUGUCCCGGUUUAAGCGUGUAGGCUGGUUUUCCAGGCAAAUCCGGAAAAUCAAGGCUGAGGCGUGAUGACGAGGCACUACGGUGCUGAAGCAACAAAUGCCCUGCUUCCAGGAAAAGCCUCUAAGCAUCAGGUAACAUCAAAUCGUACCCCAAACCGACACAGGUGGUCAGGUAGAGAAUACCAAGGCGCUUGAGAGAACUCGGGUGAAGGAACUAGGCAAAAUGGUGCCGUAACUUCGGGAGAAGGCACGCUGAUAUGUAGGUGAAGUCCCUCGCGGAUGGAGCUGAAAUCAGUCGAAGAUACCAGCUGGCUGCAACUGUUUAUUAAAAACACAGCACUGUGCAAACACGAAAGUGGACGUAUACGGUGUGACGCCUGCCCGGUGC
rnacentral:rRNA from 1 species